AUUCAUACAAAUAAAAAAACUUUAACUAAAAACUAUCGAAAACUACAUAACUUCAAGAUCAAUCGAUAUUAUCUUGGUGUUUUAGAACAUUUUUGUGUAGCCAUCGAUAAUUGUUUGGUCUAAGCUGGUUGAUGGAUUAACUACCCAACACUUAUCGUGUCGACUGCACACAUCAGGUGGAUGUUUAGAAUUUUCCUGCAAAUGUAAAUAAAACUGGAGAAUAUGUCCGUUUUUUUUUUAUCGUUUUUCAUGUUAGAAAUGUAUAUGUAAUUUCAAUUACAAAUCAAAGGCGUACAUGUCAUUAAAAUUAUUCAUUACAAAUCAAAUAGUUCUACAAAUUUUAUCAUUCCUGUGUAAUUUUUUGUUUGUUAUUGUUAUUUUUGCUUUGUUUAGCACAUAUGUUGCAGUUGCAAUAUUUCGUUUGCGCCUUUACAGCCCUAUUGAAGAAGUAUAUACUUAAUAUUGAAUGACAUAUGAUUUUUAAACUUAUUCAAUUGAAUGAAAACAUAAAUAAUCUAAAAGAGGAUUUCGCUAUUGCAACAUGCAUCAGACAAAUUUAACGAAUCAUAAUAAUUUUUUU